AGAGCCUACCAUGGUUUCAACGGGUAACGGGGAAUAAGGGUUCGAUUCCGGAGAGGGAGCCUGAGAAACGGCUACCACAUCCAAGGAAGGCAGCAGGCGCGCAAAUUACCCAAUCCCGACACGGGGAGGUAGUGACAAUAAAUAACAAUAUAGGGCUCUUUUGGGUCUUAUAAUUGGAAUGAGUACAAUUUAAAUCCCUUAACGAGGAACAAUUGGAGGGCAAGUCUGGUGCCAGCAGCCGCGGUAAUUCCAGCUCCAAUAGCGUAUAUUAAAGUUGUUGCAGUUAAAAAGCUCGUAGUUGAAUUUCGGGAUUGACACAUCGGUCGUGCCUUAAGGGGUAUGAACUGGUGUAGUCAAUUUCUCACCUUCUGGAGAACCGCGAUGCCCUUAAUUGGGUGUCGCGGGGAACCAGGACCUUUACUUUGAAAAAAUUAGAGUGUUUAAAGCAGGCAUUUUGCUUGAAUACAUUAGCAUGGAAUAAUAAAAUAGGGCGGCAUGAUUCUAUUUUGUUGGUUUCUAGGAUCACCGUAAUGAUUAAUAGGGAUAGUUGGGGGCAUUAGUAUUCAAUUGUCAGAGGUGAAAUUCUUGGAUUUAUUGAAGACUAACCACUGCGAAAGCAUUUGCCAAGGAUGUUUUCAUUAAUCAAGAACGAAAGUUAGGGGAUCGAAGACGAUCAGAUACCGUCGUAGUCUUAACCAUAAACUAUGCCGACUAGGAAUCAGACGAUGUUAAUUUUUUAAUGACUCGUUUGGCACCUUAC
rnacentral:rRNA from 1 species